GCGGUGGAUGAUGUGGUUUAAUUCGAUGCAACGCGAAAACCUUACCCACCUUUGACAUGUACGAAGUUGCCAGAGAUGGCUUCGUGCUCGAAAGAGAGCCGUAACACAGGUGCUGCAUGGCUGUCGUCAGCUCGUGUCGUGAGAUGUUGGGUUAAGUCCCGCAACGAGCGCAACCCUUGUCAUUAGUUGCUACGAAAGGGCACUCUAAUGAGACUGCCGGUGACAAACCGGAGGAAGGUGGGGAUGACGUCAAGUCCUCAUGGCCCUUAUAGGUGGGGCUACACACGUCAUACAAUGGCUGGUACAAAGGGUUGCCAACCCGCGAGGGGGAGCCAAUCCCAUAAAGCCAGUCGUAGUCCGGAUCGCAGUCUGCAACUCGACUGCGUGAAGUCGGAAUCGCUAGUAAUCGUGGAUCAGCAUGUCACGGUGAAUACGUUCCCGGGUCUU
rnacentral:rRNA from 1 species